rnacentral:rRNA from 1 species
AGCAGUAGCCACGGUAAUACGUAGGUGGCAAGCGUUGUCCGGAAUUAUUGGGCGUAAAGCGCGCGCAGGUGGUUUAAUAAGUCUGAUGUGAAAGCCCACGGCUCAACCGUGGAGGGUCAUUGGAAACUGUUAAACUUGAGUGCAGGAGAGAAAAGUGGAAUUCCUAGUGUAGCGGUGAAAUGCGUAGAGAUUAGGAGGAACACCAGUGGCGAAGGCGGCUUUUUGGCCUGUAACUGACACUGAGGCGCGAAAGCGUGGGGAGCAAACAGGAUUAGAUACCCCUGUAGUCCCUGUCUCUUAUAC